rnacentral:rRNA from 1 species
AGUGAACGCUGGCGGCGUGCCUAAUACAUGCAAGUCGAGCGAAGCGGGGACGGUUGAGUAACACGUAAGGAACCUCCGAUAAGCGGGGGACAACAUCCGGAAACGGGUGCUAAACCGCAUACUUAUCGAUGGCCUUCGUGCAUUAGCUCGUUGGUGGGGGAACGGCCUACAAGGCAAUGAUGCAUAGCCGACCGAGAGGGUAAUCGGCCACAUUGGGACUGAGACACGGCCCAAACUCCUACGGGAGUCAGCAGUAGGGAAUCUUCCGCAAUGGGCGAAAGCCUGAGCCAGCCAUGCCGCGUGUGUGAAGAAGGUCUUCGGAUUUUAAAGCACUUUAAGUUGGGAGGCGUUACCAACAGAAUAAGCACCGGCUAACUUCGUGCCAGCCGCCGCGGUAAUUC